CUUCUGUUUUUAAAACCAUCACAUCUCAUGACACCCAUUCACUAUCAUGAGAACAUUGCAAGAAAGACCUCCCCACAUAAUUCAAUCACCUCCCACCAGGUUCCUCUCACGAGAUGUGGGGAUUGUGGGAGUUAAAAUUCAAGAUGAGACUUGGGUGGGGCCACAGCCAAACCAUAUCACUCAGAAGCAGUUAUAUAGCCUCUUUCCUGUUUCCCUUAAAAACUGUCAUUUUCCUUUACUUCCCUGAAUAUGCACUUAGCUUACUAUGGCACACAUAUUUCCAUUGAAAUGCCUCAUUCCCAAAUAACUGUCAUUGUCUUUUAGAGACCCCCCUCUCUGUUUAUUAUUUACAUUGAUAAAAAUUGUGUCCAGAAGUCAGACCUGAAGAAAGAUCACUUGUGAAAGAAAUUGGCAGUUCUGGGACCUGGUGUACAGUACUCACUUCGGUCCUUAGAGCUCUCUGCUUCCAUGGCCUCACCUUCUCUGUCCUGGUGAGUCUUUUCUCAGGUUAGGCCUCCCUAUUUUUGGUAGAGGCUGAUUAGCUUCACUUUUUGUUUUGUUAUAAGGCCAACUGAGUCAAGGACCUUGCAUUCCUCUUGGGAUGAUGAAAGCCUUUUUUUUUUUUUUUUUUCUGGAAAGCCCUUACUGUAUAAGGACAAGUGUCUGUUCAUCUGAGUACCCUGCUUUUUACAGAAUUUAUGUUCUGUUUGUGAAGAAUGUCUUUUCUGGUGAAUUCACUUUUGUUUCUGUGUGCCUAAUUUAGUAUUUUGUUUGAUCUGCAUGCCUGGGUUAACAUUUUUGUGAUCACUCUUAUCUUGGUUUCAUUUUGGUUUGGUUCUGCGUGUCUGCAAGUGAUUUGGGUCUCUUCCCAUGCUGAUUUCUGAAAAUCUUCUUAGAGAAAAAAAUAAACAUUCUAAAUGAUGGCUGCAAGAUGGUUAAUUAAAAUCCAUUCGAGCAGUCCCCAGCAUCUAAAACACUCAUCCAAACUCCCGACAUUCUUUCAUAGGAGUGAUAGAAUUUUCUUUGCUUUGAAGAGAUUAAAAAGAAAUAAAAUGGGAAUUUCAAACAUUUAGACAUAUCAGAUUUUCUGAGUCUCCAGCCAGCUACAUGGCUUUUCCUCAUGCAUGUUUUUUGAUCAAUGGCAAUCAUUGGGAUCAUUUGAACUUCCCAAGCUUGUUUUCUUCUUUGCACCAAAUUAAGAGAAUACAAUGGUAGAGUCAACACAUAGAGGCUUCUAAAUCCUCUAGCACUCUGCUUCUUUUCCUACCUACUUUGAACCUGUUGACUUUUCUGCUGAUGUCGCCAUAAAACUCUCUGUUAUGGCAUUCCAGGUAAGAUUAAAAAAAAAGUCUUAAAGACUUUAAAAUUAAUGCUUUUACAAAUUACAACAGCCUCAUGGCAACCAACCAUCUAAACGUCUUUUAGAAAUGCAAAUUUAGGUUUGCCUGACUAACAAUUGCUUAAGCUUAUGGAAUAGUUAAUUCAAGUAUUACUAGUCUUAAACUAGGUAAAUGUUUAUAGAAAUGGGGCUCUCAGAUCAAACAGGUCAAAAUUUUGAGCUAAGCACAAUAAUAAAAGGUAGCUCUCUCAUGCAUAAAAAUUGCUUUGUUUGCCAUGUGGGGGCCAGAAAAAAUGACCAAUAUGGUGAAACCCCAUCUCUACUAAAAAUACAAAAAUUAGCUGGGCGUGGUGGUGUGUGCCUGUAGUCCCAGCUACUUGGGAGGCUGAGACAGGAGAAUUGCUUGAACUGGAGAGGCUGAGGUUGCAGUGGGCCGAGUUCGUGCCACUGCAUUCCAGCCUGGGUGACAGAGCGAGACUCCACUUCAAAAAACAAAACAAAACAAAACAACAAACAAACAAACAAAAAACCCCUGCCAACAUGCCUCUCCACCUACAUUGAUUACUCUCAAUUGGUAAUCAGACCAGCAGACAAAUUGUGGAUUCAUUACUAAUUCAAGGCUGCUUAGAGAUUUUGUUUUUUCUUAUACAAUUCAGCCGAUCCUGGCUAAAAUGUAAACUUAGAAUUUAACGUUAAACCCAUUUAAAGCUAAAAAAAGAAAACAAACAAAACGGGGCAAAAGAAGUUUUUGUAAACCAACUUACUUUCCCCAAAACAUUGGUCCACAGCCUUCAUUAGGAUACGUAUUGGGGCAAAUAACCAUUUGAACAAGGGAGCUAUUUGAACAAGGCUUAUUUUUUCCAAAAUACAAUUUUGAUCCAGCAGUCUUUUAUAAACUGGUGAGUUUGUAUUACUAUCUCAUGACCAAAAUUCUAAAAUGAAAUUUAUAAGAUUGCAUUUGUGUGUGGAUAUAUGUUUAGGUCUAUUUACACAUAUGUACAUCGAAUUUUGUUAUAUAUUGUGUCUAUAUUAUAAAAUCUGAUGUAGUUAGCCAGAAAUCCCUUAAUUUUAUUCAAAUUGGCAAAGAUAAAUGAGCACUCAUAUAAAAUAUAUAAUAAUAAAGAAGCUGUUUUUUAAAUUAGUAAAAUAAAGUUGUCAGCAUACAUUUUUGCCUGCGUUUACUGGUUGGACAGUUUUAUAUUUGUAUCUUCAAGAUGUUUCAAGGUCAGAAAAUGAUAAACCCAGCCUAAAAAGCAGAAUAAUCUUUGUUUGUGUAACUCUUUGAUAUGUAAACUUAAUUUAAUAUUGUAGUUUAAUAAAAACAGCUGUAUCUGCUGAGUUAUUAACAACAUAUUCUUAUAUUUAAGUCUUCUGCUUACAUGAACACCUAAUAUUCACAGGCUAUAAAAAUGCUUAACAGGGAAAUAAUUUGAAAUAAUGGUUAGCUUUAUCUAAUAGCUCAGUUUUUAUAAGUAAUCUGGGUAAAUUGUUAAAAAUAAAUUAGGUAAAUAUAAAUGGAAUAAAUACAGAUAAAAUUUUUAUGUAAUUUUAAAUACUAAGGUUAUGCUGUGUUAAAAUGAUAACUUAUUAAAUGUCUGGGUCAUUUUGAAAUAAGAUAAAAACUGAAAUUACUGAACAUAAAUGUUCUUUGCUUCUAAAAAUUUAUAGAUAUAUAUAUUUGGGUCUAUUAAUACAUGUAAAAAUUAUGUUAUGGAAGAUGAUGUUUCUCAAAAUUAUUAACAGAUUCUCAUCUAUAAAACACUAGUAUGUGACAGACAGUUCAAAAUUUCUUGCUUCCUAGAUUUUCACUAAAAAUCAAGAUUACUAAGAGUUAAAAUUCUUGUUAAUAUAUGUAAUUAUGUAUACAAAGUGUGCCAAAAAAGUAAGAUGUGUUUUGAUGAGAAAAAUUUUAAAAAGACAUAAAAAUGUGUUUUUUGUUUUUUGUUUUUUUUUUUUUUUGAGAUGGAAUGUCCCUCUGUCACCCAGGCUGCAGUGCAAUGUUGCGAUCUUGGCUCACUGCAACCUCUGCCUCCCAGGUUCCAGCGAUUCUUCUGCCUCAGCCUCCCAAGUAGCUGGGACUACAGGUGUGCACCACCAUGCCCAACUAAUUUUUGUAUUCUUAGUAGAGACGAGGUUUCACCAUAUUGGCCAGGCUGGUCUCGAACUCCUGACCUCAUGAUCUGCCUGCCUCAGCCUCCCAAAGUGCUGAGAUUACAGGCGUGCCACCGUGCCCAGCCAAAAAUGUGUUCCUUAUUGAGAAUUUUUUUUUUUCUAAUUUGGAGGUUAUUUAAAGGUUGUUUCAAAAAUUAAAAUUAGAAAAUAGAAACAAUAUAAAAAGGAAUGAGUGAAGGAGGGGGUUAUAAGAAAGUCAUGGUUAUUAUAAAGAUAUAUAUUUGUUAAGAAAGUUUAAAGAGAAAAGAGAAAAUUUUGUCUGGAAAAUAAUCUUGUGUAGUAAAUGUUUGUCCUAAAGUAAAAUGACUGGUUAUUUUUUGAGAAAGAGGAAGACAAAACAAAGCAGAAAGCCUAAGCAUCAUGUCAAGGCUUUGUGCAGGUCACAAAAGGUUUGUGAAGGAUGAAUUGAUAAAAAAAGUUAUGUCCUCAAGUUGCUAUAUUUAGAAGGGAAUUAUUUAUAAAUCUUUCUAAACAUUGAUCUUUGAUAUUGAAAAUAUAGUAAUACAAAACUAAAAAUUUGGCUCCCUCAAUAAGAACAACAAGAUUUUCUUAAAAUAUUGGUUUCAGUACAAUUAAAAGUCAAAAGUUCUUUAGUCUAAAGAGGUUUUGAUUUUUAAUUCUCUGCAGCUGUGUUUCUGUUUUAUAGUCACUAAUUUCCUUAGUUUCAGAUUAGAAAUGCUGUCUUUUUCAUUUAAACUUGUAAUUUCAUUUCUCAAGGUAGAGUUUUCCUCUUAAAACUUCUCAGAUUCGUAUUUCAGAAGUUCAAUGUUUGCUGUAUCUCAUCACCUGUAAUUUGCAGGUUAUACAACUGUAGUGGUUAAUAAUGAGUGUCUACUUGAUUGGAUUGAAGGAUGCAAGGUAUUGUUCCUGGGUGUGUCUGUAUGGUGUAGAUGGCGUUGCCAAAGAUUAGCAUUUGAGUAAGUGGGCUGAGAGAGGUGGACCCACUCUCAAUCUGGGUGGGCCCCAUCUAAUCAGCUGGCAGUGUGGAAUGAGGAGACUUGCUGAGUGUUCUGGCCUUCAUCUUUCUCCUGUGCUGGAUGCUUCCUGCCCUCAAACAUGAGACUCCAAGUUCUUCAGCUUUUGGACACUUGGACUUACACUGGUGAUUUGCCAGGGGCUCUUAGACCUUGGGCCACAGACUGAAGGCUGCACUAUUAGCUUUUCUACUUUUGAGGUUUGGGGACUCAGACUGGGUUCCUUGCUCCUCAGCUUGCAGAUGGCCUAUUGUGGGACUUCACCUAGUGAUCAUGUGAGUCAAUUCUCCUAAUAAACUCUCUGUCCUAUGUACAUACAUCCUAUUAGUUCUGUUCCUUCAGAGAACUCUGACUAAUAGAACAUCAUUCAUUGCCUUCUGCUCUUCCUGUAUUUCCUCUUGAGAAGGACUGGAAUGAUAACUCUCUCCUUUAACUUUUUUCUCUUCUAACUCUGCUGUGAUGGUCUGAUGCUACAAUGUUUACACUGAAGGCCUAGAAAAGCAAUCUUUUUAUCCAGUAUAACUUGAGUGUGUACUUGGCUUUUCUCAUUGCCUCUGAAUUGUUCCAUGUAACCGGGAAACGUCCCAUGCUGUUACUAAAAGCCAUGCAUUCUCCUGCUCAGAGUACUAGUUUUCCUCUAGAAUGGGGCACACUCAUAACCUUGGAUGCUCUCUUCCUGUGUCUGAUUAAAUCCAAGUAGUGUUUUCAUCAGGUUCAACUUUCAGCUUAUUGAAAGAGGCUUCCCAUAUGGAAAAGCAAUCACAUUAUGAAGGCUUCUCUCUCCCUUUUUGGAAACUGGCCUAAGAAACAAAUAUUUUAUGUUUUAGCAAGAUAAUUUUCUGUGUUGUUUUUAUUAGGUAUUCGAUUACUUAGGAACAUUGAGCUUUAAAAGGCUAAGGUUUUUACAUCCAUUUAACCUUCUGUAUUACUUUUUGAAGUCUCUUAUCACUCUGGCUAAAUGAAUGACUGUGAUUUCACAGUGAUUUGUGAUCCUAUUUUGAUCAAGUGUUUUAACCUUUUUUCAUCUUUGACAGGCUUCUCCAAUAUCAAAAUUCUAAAUUAAGUCUUUGUGACCUAAAAUUAACUUUGAGGUUUUCCUACUGGAUCCCUGGGUGGUCUCAAAGAAUAUAGCUCUCAUCUUAUAGAGAUAUGAAAUGAUAAGGCUUAUCUGGUAAAUUGUAUAGAAAAAUAUUGUCAAAUGAUAAGUGAUACUAUGUCUUCUUUCAGUUACAUUUAUCAUAUGUUAUUGAUAUGAAUGUUUGAAAUUGUAUAUAAUUCAUAUAAAUCUCAUAUAUCAUCAGUCAUAAUUCUGACUAUCUUAUAUGCCACAAAAUAACCAUAUUUUAUUGUUAAUUAGUGAUGAUAAUGAACUUCCAUCAGAUUCCUAACCAUGGUUACUGUAAGACUCUGUCUUCCACAGUUUUGAUUUUCUCUAAAGGCAUCUGCGAUCGGUUUCAUGGAAAAGACACCAACAAGCACUUUUAAAUACAAGUCUCUAAUAAUUUAAAGAUCAAUGGGCUAAAUUAAACAUUUUAAAUAUGCUAAUGAAUAAACUAAUAAAUUCAUAAAACUGCUAAUGAAAAUCAAGUGGAACAAAAAUGUAUCGUAUGAGAUUAAAUAACUGAUGAAGAUUAUUGUUUUUAUGAAUUUUAUUUGAUGCAUUAUUGGUUCUUUACUUAAAUGUUUUAUUUUUCAGAUGUAAGAAAAUGUUUUUUCUUAAGCUAAUCUAUAGCUAACAAUAAUUUGGUAAAAAAUACUUUUGUUAACAAAGGUGGAAAGCAUUUGCUAUUUCUCCCUACAUCAUUUCUCAAAAUUCAAAAACUAUUUGUAUUUUUUAUAACACUAUAGUUAUUUGCAUAAGUUCUAUAAAAAGUCCUCUAUUUAUAGCAGGAUACAAUUAAAAACAUUGAUUAUAUUAUCAAUGCUUUGACUGGAAUGACAUAUUUGAGAAUGUGCAUAGAAUGCCUGGUUUCAAGUUCUCCCAGUCUUAGAGUGGUGAGUAAAAUUGUCAAUUCUCGGCAGCACCAGAAAUCUUAAAACUGUAGAUGAAAUCUAAAGUCGGCCUCGAUUUGGCUUCACCAGGUCUUAAAAUCUGAGACUCCUAUGUGAUUAAUGUGGAAAGAAAAAGUUACAUUUCUAAAAAAAUGCUCUAGUACACCCAUUAUCAGAUUGUAGCUCUGUGCACUGUUUUUGAGUUCUGGUUAUCUACUUACAGACUAACUUAGAUCUCUGAGUUCUAGAUUCCUCCAACUUCCUUCCAUGGAAUUACUAAAAAAAGGAACUUCUGUGUUCCUAAAGCACUAUAAGCUGAAACUAGAUGAAGUUUUUAUGAGCAAGUGCCUGAUGUAUGAGCUGCACAGAAAGUUCACCAAACCACCCAAAGCCAUUGCCAUAGGCAUCUGAACUGCAAGCCAGCACAAGAAGUCGAUGCUUUCAUACACUUUCCAAGAUGUCAGAACAAGGUUCCAAAUCAUAAUAAGAAUUCACUCCUUACCUAGAAGUAAAAAAAGAGGACACACUUUUGAACCGCUCACAUGACCACACCAUUCUGCGGGGACGUCCUUGUGUUGAGGGGAGGUCUGAAGUCCAUGGAAGAAGACGCAGUGGCUGCUGGAGCUCGUGCAGAGGAAGGGACCCUCAGAAGGACAGGUGAACUGUCGGUGGCAGGAAAAAUGGUGGGCACAUUUCCAGAAUGACAAAUGGGAGAAGCAAUCGUGACAUCUCCAGGUGGGGGAAGCAUAGGAGGAAGAGGUUGUUCUCUCAGGAAGUUGCCUCCUAGCCUCCAACGAGGCCUUUCCUAUCACUGCUCAUUCUCUUCUGUGUGUGGAUUGGAUACUGCGGUCACCCAGAGAAGCUGGUGCACACCAGGCACAUGAAGGGGCGAUCCUUGUCUCCUUCCGACUCAUGCGCGUGUCUUGAUGUUUAAACUCAGAAGGAUGUUUAAACUCGGUUGUCUAUGAGACAAAAUGGCUAGUUUUUGGAGGGUCUGGGGCAUUACAUUCUGCAGAUUAAGAUUUUUGCCCGAUAUUGGCCAAGUCAAGGAAAUAGAUGCUAAGGCCAAAUGCUUUGAAAAACCACAAACUCCUGUUUCUGUGGGAAAUGUUUGGCCUGUUGAAUCAAACUCAAUAAAGAACAGUAAAAUCUGUUAUUUCAAAAAUUUUUGCUUUUGUAGCUGGUUAGUUGCCUUUCUUUGGAAAACCCUGUACAAUUCCUACAUGAAAUGUAUUCCUAUUGGAAAGAGGUUUUGCCACAAUGAAUUUCAAACUCUAUACAACAAAUUGGUUUAUUCUACAGGAAUUUCAAUAAAAAAGGUUUUUUUGUCCCUUC